CAGUGUGAUGCCGAAGAGCUAACAGCUUUUAUUUUGAAUGGAUUAGAUGAUGAUUAUGAUUCUGUAGUUUCUGCUCUAGCAGCCAAAUCUGAACCCAUUACCUUGUCAGAAACAUAUGCACAAUUGUUGAACUUUGAAA
rnacentral:snoRNA from 1 species